rnacentral:rRNA from 1 species
AGCGAACGCUGGCGGCAGGCUUAACACAUGCAAGUCGAGCGGGCCCUUCGGGGUCAGCGGCGGACGGGUGAGUAACGCGUGGGAACGUGCCUUCUGGUCUGGAAUAACCCUGGGAAACUAGGGCUAAUACCGGAUACGCCCUUUUGGGGAAAGGUUUACUGCCGGAGGAUCGGCCCGCGUCUGAUUAGCUAGUUGGUGGGGUAACGGCCUACCAAGGCGACGAUCAGUAGCUGGUCUGAGAGGAUGAUCAGCCACACUGGGACUGAGGCACGGCCCAGACUCCUACGGGGGGCAGCAGUGGGGAAUAUUGGACAAUGGGCGCAAGCCUGAUCCAGCCAUGCCGCGUGAGUGAUGAAGGCCUUAGGGCUGUAAAGCUCUUUUAUCCGGGACGAUAAUGACGGUACCGGAGGAAUAAGCCCCGGCUAACUUCGUG